rnacentral:rRNA from 1 species
UGGGGCGGGAGCCUGAACCAGCCAAGUCGCGUGAGGGAAGACGGUCCUAUGGAUUGUAAACCUCUUUUGGUCGGGGGAGCAAAAGAGGCCACGUGUGGUCAAAAGCGAGAGUACCCGAAAGAAAAAGCAUCGGCUAACUCCGUGCC